CGUAAUAAUAGAAACUAACCAGGAUUCCCUUAGUAACGGCGAGUGAACUGGGAUACCAAUAAUACCAACUAUGCGCUUCGGCGCAUAAUUUUAGCCCGUCGAUACUAUCCUAGCAUAUCACCGGUCUCGGCCGGUAACUCAAUAUGCGGGAAUUGUAGCAUCGUAAUAAGAAAAAAUAUAACAAUAUAUAAUAAUACGCCACGCACACACACACAUACACACCGCGUCUCUGCGUACAACUUGUAACAAACACACAGCGUCUCCGCGUUGGAAAGCAAGUUUAUAUCCUCUUUGGAUAUGCCAUAGAGUGUGACAGCCACGUUUGACUCACUCACAAGUACGCAUUCACAUAUACUCACGGCGCACCGUGCCAUGGCUGUAUCAAUAUUUAUAUAUAUAUAUAUUUUUCUAUAACCUGAGUCNAGUUAUUU
rnacentral:rRNA from 1 species